ACGAACGCUGGCGGCGUGCUUAACACCUGCCAGUCGCACGCUGAAGCUCAGCUUUUGUUGGGUGGAUGAGUGGCGAACGGGUGAGUAACACGUGAGUAACCUGCCCCCUUCUUUGGGAUAACGCCCGGAAACGGGUGCUAAUACUGGAUAUUCACUGGUCUUCGCAUGGGGGUUGGUGGAAAGGGGGUUUCUGGUGGGGGAUGGGCUCGCGGCCUAUCCGCUUGUUGGUGGGGUGAUGGCCUACCAAGGCUUUGACGGGUAGCCGGCCUGAGAGGGUGACCGGUCACAUAGGGACUGAGAUACGGCCCAGACUCCUACGGGAGGCAGCAGUGGGGAAUAUUGCACAAUGGGCGCAAGCCUGAUGCAGCGACGCCGCGUGAGGGAUGGAGGCCUUCGGGUUGUGAACCUCUUUCGCUCAUGGUCAAGCCGCAACAAUGGUUGUGGUGAGGGUAGUGGGUAAAGAAGCGCCGGCUAACUACGUG
rnacentral:rRNA from 1 species